GGGCGCGUGGCCUAGUCCGGAUAUGGCGGCAGCCUCCUACUGUUUCCCAGGAGAAAGCUGUAGGUCGGGGGUUCGAAUCCCUCCGCGCCCG
rnacentral:tRNA from 1 species